rnacentral:lncRNA from 1 species
UCCUGCUGUCCUCACUCUCAGGCAUCUUCUGCUCACUUAGAAGAAACAGAAUUAAAUGGGUGCCCAAGACAUUGUCACCAAGACAGCCUGGGACUGCACGGCUGGGGAUGCUGAGCUCCCUGCUGGAAUGUGAAGGCAAGCCCUGAGCUGCAGCUGCAGUGACACAGCCCCAGAGCUCAGACUUUCUAAAAAGCAAGAAGAGCUCUUGUUCUCUGCAAACCACGCAGUUCCUGUUGACUACACGUGGAUUUGGCCCCACCAAGGCCCUCUGGCCUCACCAGGACCUGCCUGAAGGAUGGAAACCACAUCUAACCCCAGUCACGUUGUCUUCCAAAUAUCCGGGAACCUCAGGAAACCUUUUAAGAGGAGGAGGAGGAGGAGGAGGAGGAGGAGGAGCAAACCAUCACCAGGUGGUUUCCUUCCCCUGGAAGCGGAUGAGGAGGAGAAGAAAAGGUGAGACUGAAGAAAAUGGAGUGAAGGAAAUCCCAAUGCACUGGGGAUCCAUUCCCUGGGAAAACCAGUGUUCCCUGGGCCUGGAAACUGGGGAAUCAUUUCCUUGAAAGUGGGGAAUCAUUACCCUACUGGGAUGGAUCCUUGGUCAGGUUGGGAGGGAUCACUCCCACAGCUCCCAGGGGAAGCUGGGCUCUGCAAUUCCCAGAUUUUGGGAGGGAAAUGGAAUCACAGAGAGUCACAAGGCCACAGCUCCACCCAGGAUGUUCCUCUUCCUCAGCCCUUGGAAUCAGGGGUUCCUGACAAGCCUUGGAGAGGGCCAAGGCUAACAGAGAGGUGAAAUAUGGGAUCUGUCAGGAGUUUAAUUAAAGAGAGAACCAUUCCAGCCCCUCAGCUCGUUUAAAGCCCAGCUCAGGAGGCUCUUCUCUUCUCACAGGUAAUUAUCCAAGCAUUCCCUGCACAUAUUCCCAGGGAAAAGCAGAGUGUGCUCAUCCAUCACCUGCUUAAUGCCAGGGCUGGUGAUAAACAGCAACAAGGAGUUGGCAGGGUGAAAUGGGAUUGGGAUCUUCUCCCAAAACAACCCCAAGAGGUGUUUCAGAGCAGGAAGAUUUUAACAUAUUAAGGAAUUAAUAAUCAAAUUUAAUUAAUUGGAUAAUUAAUUUGAUUUUAUUUAAAUACUUAAAUAUUUAAAUAAUUAAAUAAUUUCCCUGUGCAGAGAGGAAGAGCAAACCCUUCCAUGGCACAGAUGGAAAUGCAGCAUUUCCCUGGGCUCUGUGUCCCUCCUGUGCAGGGCUCAGGGCUGGAGGCUCCCCCAGGC